UUUCCGUAGGUGAACCUGCGGAAGGAUCAUUGUCGAUACCUGCACAGGCAGACCGCGAACUCGUUUUAAUACACUGGGCUCGUUGUGUGGGGUAACUCCUCAGCGUGCUCUCUUGCAUGGGCUGCGGGCAAACAAACCCCGGCGCGGAAUGCGCCAAGGAAAACUAAUAUGAGCGUCCGCCCCUAUCGCCCCGUUUGCGGCGUGCGAGGGGGGAUGUUCCUCAAUGUCUAAAUGACUCUCGGCAACGGAUAUCUCGGCUCUCACAACGAUGAAGAACGUAGCGAAAUGCGAUACUUGGUGUGAAUUGCAGAAUCCCGUGAACCAUCGAGUCUUUGAACGCAAGUUGCGCCCGAAGCCUCCUGGUUGAGGGCACGCCUGCCUGGGCGUCACACAUUGCGUCGCCCCCUUCCUCGGAUAAUGGCCUCCCGUGCGGUCAGCUCACGGCCGGCUCAAAUGAAAUCACGUGGCGACCACCGUCACGACAACCGUUGGUUGAGCACUCCUCUCUUCUUUCGUGUUGGGUGGGCUGCGUCCUCAUAGACCCAACGGCGUGAAAGCUCGUGCCAUUGAAUGCGACCCCAGGUCAGGCGGGACCACCCGCUGAGUUUAA
rnacentral:rRNA from 1 species